GAGUGGAAGGGCCAUCGCUCAACGGAUAAAAGCUACCUCGGGGAUAACAGGCUUAUCUCCCCCAAGAGUCCACAUCGACGGGGAGGUUUGGCACCUCGAUGUCGGCUCGUCUCAUCCUGGGGCUGAAGCAGGUCCCAAGGGUUGGGCUGUUCGCCCAUUAAAGAGGCACGCGAGCUGGGUUCAGAACGUCGUGAGACAGUUCGGUCCCUAUCCGUCGUGGGCGUUAGAAAUUUGAGAGGAGCUGUUCCUAGUACGAGAGGACCGGAAUGGACAAACCUCUGGUGCACCAGUUGUUCCGCCAGGAGCACAGCUGGGUAGCCAAGUUUGGCAGGGAUAAGUGCUGAAAGCAUCUAAGCACGAAGCCCCCCUCAAGAUAAGAUAUCUCAUCCUAAAAAAGGAGUAAGGCCACUGGCAGACGACCAGGUAGAUAGGCCGGAGGUGGAAGUCCAGCAAUGGAUGGAGCUGACCGGUACUAAUCGGCCGAGGUCUUGAUCCA
rnacentral:ncRNA from 1 species